GGGUGCGAUCAUACGAGCACUAAAGCACCGGAUCCCAUCGGAACUCUGAAGUUAAGCGUGCUUGGGCGAGAAUGGUACUAAGAUGAACUUUGUCGCAGGACUUCCA
rnacentral:rRNA from 1 species